GGCUUUGAGGAAAGGGGACGGAGAGCAUCUGAAGGAAGCUUGGGUGUAAUCGGGCCACUGUCUCCAGAAGACUCAGGAAGGCUACUCAGAGAAGGGUCCCCCCAAGGGAUGUGGGACGGUUGGCCUAACCCUGUGGCAGACGGCUCUGCUUCUCUUCAUGGCCUAUGGAUUUGGAAAGCUCCUGAGUGCAAUGAGGAGUACCUCACCUAGCAGCCAAGACCUAUUCCCUGCCCCAGUGCCCCAGUACCCCAGAAACAGGCCAAGCCCCAGACUCUCCUGGCAUAAAUACCGGCUCCCGUCCAACCUCACGCCAUCAGGUAUGGGAGAUGCUGGGACCAGCAGCUAGCAGAGGGAAAAUGACAUAUCCUAGGAUUCAAUCCAAUCAGGAUUCCAUCCCAAGGACCAAGGUAGAAUAGAACAGCAGCCGUUCUUUCUGGGAGAUGAACCCUGCAAAUUAAGCUGCCUGGCAGGCUUGGCAGCCUGUAGGUGUGACGGGUGAGGCCUCAGCCCACUCUUUCCCCAGCCCUUGAAUUCCAUUUGUCCAGGC